CAGAAUACUUGCAACCAGUAGCAUGAUAGACUCUCACUCUUUGGCCUUCUCACAGUCUAUAUAAGAGCCUAGGUAUAAGUCCAAGCCAUUUCAAAUCAAAGGCAAACUUUUGGAAGACAAAGAGAAGGAAUCAUGGCAGUCAACAAGAUUGGUGCAAUGGCUAUUCUUUUUUGUGGGAUGAUCCUUCUGGGAGCAAAUGUGGAGGUCACGGCUGUCAGGCCUGGGCCCGACCAGAUUUGCCCACUCUAUUGCAUAAUUGGGAUCGAGUACGUGGAGUGUGAUGGAGAGAAGAUCUACACAGACUGCACCAAUUGCUGCUUCGCGAACGGCUGCACUCUUCACUUUACUGAUGGAACUGAAGAGUAUUGUAUUUGGCCGGCUCAGCAAGAAUUGGGGUUUGGUAAAGGAGUUUACAAGAUAUAGUACGCUAAAGGAGUACUAAAUAAUGGGUAUAAUAUAUGACCUUUCUAGUAUGUAUUUCGGUUUCCGCGAUGGUGGGAUAUAACUAUGCCAAGUACUAUAUAAGUGAUUCAUGAGAUAGUGAAUCAUAUUCAAGAAAAUGAAAGUAUAUAGAUGAGUACUUUUUCUACAA